rnacentral:tRNA from 1 species
GACCCGGUAGCUCAGCUGGUAGAGCAACGGACUUUUAAUCCGUAGGUCCUGGGUUCGAGCCCCAGCCGGGUCA